UCGGGAAUUUUGGGCAAUGGGGGAAACCCUGACCCAGCAACGCCGCGUGAAGGAUGAAGUAUUUCGGUAUGUAAACUUCGAAAGAAUAGGAAGAAUAAAUGACGGUACUAUUUAUAAGGUCCGGCUAACUACGUGCCAGCAGCCGCGGUAAUACGUAGGGACCAAGCGUUGUUCGGAUUUACUGGGCGUAAAGGGCGCGUAGGCGGCAUGACAAGUCACUUGUGAAAUCUCUGGGCUUAACCCAGAACGGCCAAGUGAUACUGUCGCGCUAGAGUGCAGAAGGGGCAAUCGGAAUUCUUGGUGUAGCGGUGAAAUGCGUAGAUAUCAAGAGGAACACCUGAGGUGAAGACGGGUUGCUGGGCUGACACUGACGCUGAGGCGCGAAAGCCAGGGGAGCAAACGGGGAUUAGAUACCCUAGUAGUCCCUGAG
rnacentral:rRNA from 1 species